GCCGGCUUGGCUCAACGGUAGAGCAACUGAUUUGUAAUCAGUGGGUUGUGGGUUCGAUUCCUAUAGCCGGCACCA
rnacentral:tRNA from 1 species